rnacentral:rRNA from 1 species
GAUCCUGGCUCAGGACGAACGCUGGCGGCGUGCCUAAUACAUGCAAGUAGAACGCUGAAGGAGGAGCUUGCUCUUCUGGAUGAGUUGCGAACGGGUGAGUAACGCGUAGGUAACCUGCCUGGUAGCGGGGGAUAACUAUUGGAAACGAUAGCUAAUACCGCAUAAUAGUAGUUGUUGCAUGACAACUGUUUGAAAGGUGCAAUUGCAUCACUACCAGAUGGACCUGCGUUG